rnacentral:rRNA from 1 species
GAUUAUGGCUCAGGAUGAACGCUAGCGAUAGGCCUAACACAUGCAAGUCGAGGGGCAGCACAUGAGUAGCAAUACGAUGGUGGCGACCGGCGCACGGGUGAGUAACACGUAUGCAACCUACCUUUAACAGGGGAAUAACCCGUUGAAAAACGGACUAAUACUCCAUAACACAGGGGUCCCGCAUGGGAAUAUUUGUUAAAGAUUAAUCGGUUGAAGAUGGGCAUGCGUUCCAUUAGCUUGUUGGUGAGGUAACGGCUCACCAAGGCCACGAUGGAUAGGGAACUGAGAGGUUUAUCCCCCACACUGGAACUGAGACACGGUCCAGACUCCUACGGGAGGCAGCAGUGAGGAAUAUUGGUCAAUGGACGAGAGUCUGAACCAGCCAAGUAAGCGUGAAGGAUGACUGCCCUAUGGGUUGUAAACUUCUUUUAUAAGGGAAUAAAGUGAGGGACGUGUCCCUUUUGUAUGUACCUUAUGAAUAAGGAUCGGCUAACUCCGUGCCAGCCGCCGC